rnacentral:rRNA from 1 species
CCUACGGGUGGCAGCAGUGAGGAAUAUUGGUCAAUGGGCGCGAGCCUGAACCAGCCAAGUCGCGUGAAGGAUGACUGCCCUACGGGUUGUAAACUUCUUUUAUAAAGGAAUAAAGUGCGACACGUGUGCCUUUUUGCAUGUACUUUAUGAAUAAGGAUCGGCUAACUCCGUGCCAGCAGCCGCGGUAAUACGGAGGAUCCGAGCGUUAUCCGGAUUUAUUGGGUUUAAAGGGAGCGUAGAUGGGUUGUUAAGUCAGUUGUGAAAGUUUGAGGCUCAACCGUAAAAUUGCAAUUGAUACUGGCAGUCUUGAGUACAGUUGAGGUAGGCGGAAUGCGUGGUGUAGCGGUGAAAUGCUUAGAUAUCACGAAGAACCCCGAUUGCGAAGGCAGCUUACUAAACUGCGACUGACAUUGAUGCGCGAAAGCGUGGGUAGCAAACAGGAUUAGAUACCCUUGUAGUC